AACGAACGCUGGCGGCAUGCCUAACACAUGCAAGUCGAACGAGACCGUCGGGUCAAUUGGGCCACGGGUGCGGAACGCGGGGGAACAUCCCGUUAGUUUCGGAAUAACUCCCCUAAAGGGGUGCUAAGACAGGGUGAUGUCUUCGAGCCAAAGAUUUAUCGCCUUAGUAUGGGCGCGGGUGGGAUUAGGUCGUUGGUAGGGGAAAAGACUACCAAGGCGACGAUCCAUAGCUGGUCCGAGAGGAUGGUCAGCCACACUGGGACUGAGACACGGCCCAGACUCCGGCGGAAGGCAGCAGGGGGGAAUAUCGGAAGCUGGGCGAAAGCCUGAGCCAGCAAGGCCGUGUGAGUGAUGAAGGCUUUAGGGUGGUAAAGCUCUUUUACCCGGGAUGACAAGGAGGUAACCGAGAGAAUAAGCCCCGGCAACCACCUG
rnacentral:rRNA from 1 species